rnacentral:tRNA from 1 species
GCGUCGGUUUGCAAAAUAGUGUAAGAAAAUCUACGAGUAGAUCAGACUACGAAUCUGAGGGUCGGACGUUCGAAUCGUUCCGGGCGCGCCA